UUAAAAUCAAUCAUGAGUCAUGAACCGAGCAUAAGCCACAAAUUUGAACUAAUUUUAAAAUUUUUUUUCUAUAAAAUAACAUGCUGAGAGAUUAAAUUAUCUAAAAAUGUAAAUAAUAAAAAAUUAAUUUAAUUAUUUAUUUUAAUAAAAUAAUUGAUUUGUAAAAUUUUUAGGUAGCGUUUGGUAGCAAGACAGAGACCGAGAGACUGUGACAGAGAGACAGAAAUUAAAAUAAGUCUCAAUAUUGUGUUUGGUGUAUAAAGUGUAUAGAACUGAAUUAUGUCUCAGUAUCUUAUUUGGUUUGAAUUAAAACUAGAGACUGAAAUGUUUAAAUUUACAAAAUUACCCUUAACCUUACAAUGUAAAUAUAAUAGAAGGAGAAAAAGUGUGACCAAAAAAAAUAUUCUAUUUAUGAGUUGAAUUUGUUUCUGUAUGAUUUCUAUGAUGCUUUUUCGGGUGUUGUCAUGGAUAAGAGGGGAAGAAUGAUUUAAUAACAUGAACACAUAAUCUAAAGUAAUAUAAUGACUUAGUUAAUUAGGACAAAUUUGACAAAAGUUUGUUUCUCAUUCUCAGAGAGACACAUAUAUAGCUAGGCAUUAUAACCAUGCUAUAUCAAUAUUAUUUAAUCCUUUGUGUGAGAGAGAGAGAGUGAGUGAGUGAUAGACCAAUAUGGUUUAUAACAAGAGCAAGAAGAUAAAAUUUAUGCCGUUAAAUCUUAAUAAAGAUUGGAACAAACCAUCAUAUAAAUUUUCAAAAGGGUCAUGCAUGUAUCUAGCUAUGUAACUUCUUAUAUAAUGAUUUUCAAUCAUGAUCAUCAGUGUGUAUAUAGAAUUAUUCAGACCAUAAAUCUCUUACUCCUGUUAGCUAUAAACUACAAUUAAUUCCCAUGUAACAGUGGCAUUAAUAAUUCCCAAAAACAGAUGGCAAAUCCCUGAAUAUAGGACAAAGUCACAAAGACAAAGGAUUUCUUCAACAUCAGUGCUACUACUUCACACCAUUAAGAAAAUAACAAACCAAGCAAAAUAGUAACUUGUCUCUUUUCAAACUUUAAUUUCUCCAAAUCAAAGCACCCACACAAAACAUAUGUUGAGGUUGUGAG